rnacentral:rRNA from 1 species
UACGUAGGGGGCGAGCGUUGUCCGGAUUCAUUGGGCGUAAAGAGCUCGUAGGCGGCUUGGCAAGUCGGGUGUGAAAACUCCAGGCUCAACCUGGAGACGCCACCCGAUACUGCCAUGGCUUGAGUCCGGUAGGGGACCACGGAAUUCCUGGUGUAGCGGUGAAAUGCGUAGAUAUCAGGAGGAACACCGGUGGUGUAGACGGCUCUCUGGACCGUAACUGACGCUGAGGCACGAAAGCGUGGGUAGCAGACAGG